UACGUAUGUCCCGAGCGUUAUCCGGAUUUAUUGGGCGUAAAGCGAGCGCAGACGGUUCAUUAAGUCUGAAGUGAAAGCCCACAGCUCAACUGUGGAAUGGCUUUGGAAACUGAUGGACUUGAGUGCAGUAGAGGCAAGUGGAACUCCAUGUGUAGCGGUGGAAUGCGUAGAUAUAUGGAAGAACACCAGUGGCGAAGGCGGCUUGCUGGACUGUAACUGACGUUGAGGCUCGAAAGUGUGGGUAGCAAACAGG
rnacentral:rRNA from 1 species